GACGAACGCUGGCGGCGUGCUUAACACAUGCAAGUCGAACGGAAAGGCCCCUUUGGGGGUACUCGAGUGGCGCACGGGUGAGUAACACGUGAGUAACCUGCCCUUGACUUCGGGAUAACUUCAGGAAACUGGGGCUAAUACCGGAUAGGAAUCCUUGCUGCAUGGUGGGGGUUGGAAAGCUUCGGCGGUUUUGGAUGGACUCGCGGCUUAUCAGCUUGUUGGUGGGGUAGUGGCUUACCAAGGCUUUGACGGGUAGCCGGCCUGAGAGGGCGACCGGCCACAUUGGGACUGAGAUACGGCCCAGACUCCUACGGGAGGCAGCAGUGGGGAAUAUUGCACAAGGGGCGGAAGCCUGAUGCAGCAACGCCGCGUGCGGGAUGACGGCCUUCGGGUUGUAAACCGCUUUCAGCAGGGGCGAAGCUUGUGGUGACGGUACCUGCAGAAGAAGCACCGGCUAACUACGUG
rnacentral:rRNA from 1 species